UACGAAGGGGCUAGCGUUGUUCGGAAUCACUGGGCGUAAAGCGCACGUAGGCGGAUCUUUAAGUCAGAGGUGAAAUCCCAAGGCUCAACCUUGGAACUGACCUUUGGAUACUGGGGAUCUUGAGUCCGGGAGAGGUGAGUGGAACUGGCGAGUGUAGGAGGUGAAAUUCGUAGAUAUUCGCAAGAACACCAGUGGCGAAGGCGGCUCACUGGCCCGGUA
rnacentral:rRNA from 1 species